rnacentral:lncRNA from 1 species
AGAAGGACAAAUACAGAAUCCGUGUCUGGGAGAAACCUCGUGGCCUGGUCUCCAUUAUUUGAGAUGAGUUACAUCUUGGAGGUGAGGACGUGCCUCGUGGUCUAAAGCUUCGGCACAAGGGCCCAACUGGAAUUCCACUUACGGGACCAUAGCUGUCUGCAGUGCAGGAAGCCAACUAUUAAGGGGAAACAAAAGUGUUCUUAGGAGUCCUGCUGUCACUGUGGAUUGAGCCGGUGAAGCCCUGAGGGAUUUCAUCGCUGAGGUGGAUGGAGAAGCAGCUGGGGGCCUUGGCUGUAAGGACCCCUAAGGGCCUGAUCUUUUGGCCAGAAGGAGAUUAAAAAGAUGCCCCUCAAGAUGGCUGUGCCUGUCAGCUGCAUGGAGCUUCGUUCAAGUAUUUUCUGAGCCUGAUGGAUUUACAGUGAUCUUCAGUGGUCUGGGGAAUAACGCUGGUGGAACCAUGCACUGGAAUGACACACGCCCGGCACAUUUCAGGAUACUAAAAGUGGUUUUAAGGGAGGCUGUGGCUGAAUGCCUCAUGGAUUCUUACAGCUUGGAUGUCCAUGGGGGACGAAGGACUGCAGCUGGCUGAGAGGGUUGAGAUCUCUGUUUACUUAGAUCUCUGCCAACUUCCUUUGGGUCUCCCUAUGGAAUGUAAGACCCCGACUCUUCCUGGUGAAGCAUCUGAUGCACGUUCCAUCCGGCGCUCAGCUGGGCUUGAGCUGACCAUACUCCCUGGAGCCUUCUCCCGAGGUGCGCGGGUGACCUUGGCACAUACAGCCAUCAUGAUGGUACUUUAAGUGGAGGCUGAAUCAUCUCCCCUUUGAGCUGCUUGGCACGUGGCUCCCUUGGUGUUCCCCUUUUACUGCCAGGACACUGAGAUUUGGAGAGAAUCCUGUUACACCUGGGAUUUAGGCACUUUCAAUCUGAAAAAAUACAUAUCCUUUCAGCACUCUGGACGGACUUGAGAACUGUCCUUACGUGACCUAAAGCUGGAGUAUUUUGAGAUUGGAGAAUUAAGAGUGUGGGCACCCUGGCUUCAAGCUCACGAGAAACCAGGUCGGGAUUUAAACAAUGUUGGGUUAAAGCAAAGUUUCAUAAAGACAGAAUCAAGAAAAAAAGAAAGAGAAA